AUUUAUCUAAAUCACACUAAGAUGGUGUCUCUUAGAGCACCCGCAAUGGGGGAUGAAGAGGAAUCCUUAGCUCUUAAUCCUAGGUUAUUAGCAAUAUAAUAAUAAUAUACACACUUAGUUAGCUAAGGAUUGGUCUGUAAAUAAGGAUUUUAAGGACCAAAUCCUUAUAGACGUGGCGGCUUGGCAUUGGGUGGGGGGAGAGUACUGUAUUUCGUUUGAAAAAAAAACAAUUCAUUCUUGACUCAAUAAAAAAAAAUUGCUCUGGGCAACAAAGAGGCGAUUGUGCAGUUCUUGAUUUCUUUUGACGAGAAAGGCGACGAAGGCGAGAAAAAAGCUUUCCUCUCGUUUUUCUUCUGAUCUCGUACGGAUCUGUCGAAGCAUGGAAACGACGGAUCGAGAUCAGCGACGAUUUAGACGACGUGGAAGACAACGAAGAAGACGAAUCAUGGAAACAGUGGGGGAGUAAAGCAGCGACGCCGGAGUUCGAUCCGCCUCCGGAAUUCUCCGACAUGUGCUCCGGUUAGGCGUCCACCGUACUAAGAUAUGGUGGUGGAGAUUGCCAUGAGAUGGACGAAAGUUUUGAUAACAGGUGGGUUAGGAUUGAGAUUCAUGGCUGUGGAUCGAAGCACGGUGAUGUUCAAUAUGCAGAAUGGGAAGGAAGUGACUGAGGUAAUGAUAAAAAAUGUUGUCAAACUUUAUUUACCGGAUUAGUCACAGAUCUUGAGAAGUGCAAUUGAUUUUGAAUUUAGCUAAGGGAGUUUGUGCUGAGCCAAAAAGAGGCUUAUGAGGUUAAUAUAUGGAAACAAGAGUUUCGAAGACCCGGAGAUCCUCCUCUUGAUAAUGUCUUUGAAAAACUUCAAGCAAAGCAAAGUAAGGAUGAUGAAGAUGGCAAUGGUAAAAGCGAGAAUGAUGUUACUAAGGAUGAGUUAUGCUGAUUGUUGGUGUCAUACAGGCAACGGAGGAGAGGUAUAGAAACAAAGGAGCUUAUAUUAUACUGCAGGCUCCUGACUUCACUGAUCCUCAGUUUAGAAGUUUUGAAGCAGUUACUCCACGACCAAAGGCGAAUCCCUUUUUUUUAACUUUGAAAACGUGAUUGAUUCUGAUGAUGAGAUGGAUAAGUCUGCAUUGGACACCAACGAGGAACAAGCAAGUCACUGAUGCUGAGAUCGUGAAUAUAGCUGAAAGAGGAGAGAAUCUUGUAAUGGAAAUUUUAUUUUUUUAUUCCUAAGAAUUCCAUGUUUGGAAACACCAUUGGAGACACAGUUUUAAUUGGAAUCCUUAGCUAUUCAAAAAAAUAAAAAACAAAAAAAAAUAUUACUAAAAUAUUCCUAAGGAUUCUAAGGUGGAGUACACCAUUGCAUAUGCUCUUAGCCUCUUAGGUACAAAC